GUGAAAAAAAGUGUUUCCUCGUCUCCGUUCUAAAUGGCUUACUCCUUAUUCUUAAACUGUGUGGCCCCUGGUUCUGUUCUCCCCCAAUAUCGGGAACAUGUUUCCUGCCUUUUGCGCGUCCAAGCCUUUAAUAAUCUUAUAUGUGUUCAAUAUU